AUUGGAAUAGAAAUUUAAAUCCUUAGGGGAGAGUAGGCAUUGAGUUUUAGAUAGAUUAGGUCAUUCCCAUUCCGUCUCGGAAUCAUAAUCAGAAUUGUUGGGUAUAAAAUACCCCCAGCCGAAGUUCGUAAAAGGCCGACCCUCCCUGAGCUCUUUCGGCUUCCGACCUUGCGCGAUGUCUUUCUGAACUCCUCCGACCGUCUGAGCUUCCACAAUGCCAUCCGGACUUCUCCAAUAAUGAGCUCCCCCAUUCAUCUACCGGGCUGCUCCAAACGCUUUCCGAACUUCUCCAACAGCAGGACGUCUACAGUAACCAGACUCCAUCCAAAUUUCUACGGCGGUCGACCGC
rnacentral:lncRNA from 1 species